rnacentral:rRNA from 1 species
GACGAACGCUGGCGGCGCGCUUAACACAUGCAAGUCGAGCGAAGCGGCGGACGGGUGAGUAACACGUGAGUAACCUGCCUUAGACAUUGGGAUAGCCUCGGGACACCGGGAUUAAUACCACAUGGUCUAAGAUGGACUCGCGUCCCAUUAGCUAGUUGGUGAGUUAACGGCCCACCAAUGAGACGAGGGGUAGCCGGCCUGAGAGGGUGAACGGACACAGUGGAACCGAGAAACGGUCCCAACUCUACGGGAGGGAGCAGUGGGGAAUAGUGCACAAUGUAGGGAACUCUGAUGCAGCGACGCCGCGUGAACUAAGAAGGCUUUCGAGUCGUAAUGUUCUUUUAUAUGGGAAGCGGUACCAUAAGAAAAAGCCCCGGCUAACUACGUGCCAGCAGCCGCGGUAAUUC